rnacentral:rRNA from 1 species
CGGGGGAGCAAGCGUUGUUCGGAUUUACUGGGCGUAAAGGGCGCGUAGGCGGCCUCCGCAAGUCAGUUGUGAAAUCUCCGAGCUUAACUCGGAAAGGUCAACUGAUACUGCGGGGCUAGAGUGCGGAAGGGGCAACUGGAAUUCUUGGUGUAGCGGUGAAAUGCGUAGAUAUCAAGAGGAACACCUGCGGCGAAGGCGGGUUGCUGGGCCGACACUGACGCUGAGGCGCGAAAGCUAGGGGAGCGAACGGGAUUAGAUACCCCGGUAGUCCUAGCCUUAAACGAUGAAUGCUUGGUGUCUGGGGUUAUAUAGUCCCCGGGUGCCGUCGCUAACGCUUUAAGCAUUCCGCCUGGGGAGUACGGUCGCAAGACUG